rnacentral:rRNA from 1 species
ACUUAGAAUCGCCCCCUCAAAGGCAGCGAGCUCCUUUGAUUUAAAAACGAGCCCUGCGCGGAAGCUAAGCAGGGUCGGGCCUGGUUAGUAUUUGGAUGGGAGACCACCUAGAAAAACCGGGUGCUGUAGGUG